UACAUAGCUGGUGUGCGUUCGGAGG
rnacentral:piRNA from 1 species